rnacentral:lncRNA from 1 species
CGAUAUUGCAGGGACAUCCAUAAGGGCGUGAAUAUGAUGCCUUGGGACCAACUUUGAAGACUAGCUACCAGGAGAAAGAAAUCUCCUGUAAGUCUGUGGGUCUGAGAAUAGAGAAGAUAUUGUAUGCUUUUUACUUGUUGCUCUUGGAGGUGGCAGUUUCCAGUUGUUUUCAGCAGUUCUACAUGCUGAGAAUGCACAACAUAGCUUCCCGUGUCUCCUGAGAGGAUCCUCAGAGCACAGACUGAGUUUGGCCUCUGAAUGAAUCUGUGAGCAAGAAGAUGCUUUCCAUCUUACUGAAGAGAAGUUGGAUUCUGCCCCCGUCUUAUGAAGUUUUUACAGAGGAGUUCCUUGUGCCUUCAUGGCAAACUCACAGAUUAUACACUGAGAAACCACAUACUUCAUCUUCUAUGAAGGAAACACCCCAAAGAUGACUGAGCAAGGAUCCUUGGCUUCCCAAAACUAUGAGAUUGUGCUAACCACCUCGGGAUGCUGUUUAAGAGGGUAGGUUUAAGGAAGAUACUAACUUUUGUCUUGAUGAAACAGUAUAUUUUGCAUUCUUUUCUUAUAGUACUAUAGCUUCUAUUCAAUAAGUCCAAUGGAAUACAAUUCUAAUAAUCCUUUUGUCUGAAUUACAUCAUGAGAGUGAAUGUUAUCAUUUUAAAAUGAUGCACUUGGGCCAUCUUCUGCUACUGCUUUCCCAGGCCAUAGCAGAGAGCUGUAUG